rnacentral:rRNA from 1 species
CAGUAGCCACGGGAAUACAGAGGGUGCGAGCGUUAAUCGGAUUUACUGGGCGUAAAGCGUGCGUAGGCGGCUUUUUAAGUCGGAUGUGAAAUCCCUGAGCUUAACUUAGGAAUUGCAUUCGAUACUGGGAAGCUAGAGUAUGGGAGAGGAUGGUAGAAUUCCAGGUGUAGCGGUGAAAUGCGUAGAGAUCUGGAGGAAUACCGAUGGCGAAGGCAGCCAUCUGGCCUAAUACUGACGCUGAGGUACGAAAGCAUGGGGAGCAAACAUGAUUAGAUACCCCCGUAGUCCCUGUCUCUUAUAC